GUGCCAGCAGCCGCGGUAAUACGUAGGGUGCAAGCGUUAAUCGGAAUUACUGGGCGUAAAGCGUGCGCAGGCGGUCCGCUAAGACAGAUGUGAAAUCCCCGGGCUUAACCUGGGAACUGCAUUUGUGACUGGCAGGCUAGAGUAUGGCAGAGGGGGGUAGAAUUCCACGUGUAGCAGUGAAAUGCGUAGAGAUGUGGAGGAAUACCGAUGGCGAAAGCAGCCCCCUGGGCCAAUACUGACGCUCAUGCACGAAAGCGUGGGGAGCAAACAGGAUUAGAUACCCUGGUAGUCA
rnacentral:rRNA from 1 species